GUGUCAGCAGCCGCGGUAAUACCAGCUCUCCGAGUGGUGGGGAUGAUUAUUGGGCCUAAAGCAUCCGUAGCCGGCUGGACAAGUCCCCUGUUAAAUCCAACGAUCCAAUCGUUGGUCUGCGGGGGAUACUGUCCGGCUUGGGGGCGGGAGAGGCCGCCGGUAUUUCCGGGGUAGGGGUGAAAUCCUAUAAUCCCGGGAGGACCACCAGUGGCGAAGGCUGUCGGCUAGAACGCGCCCGACGGUGAGGGAUGAAAGCUGGGGGAGCGAGCCGGAUUAGAUACCCGGGUAGUCCCAGCUGUAAACGAUGCAGGCUAGGUGUUAGGGCGGCUACGUGCCGCUCUAGUGCCGCAGGGAAGCCGUUAAGCCUGCCGCCUGGGGAGUACGGUCGCAAGGCUGAAACUUAAAGGAAUUGACGGGG
rnacentral:rRNA from 1 species